GGAGUUUGGGCCGUGUCUCAGUCCCAAUGUGGCCGAUCACCCUCUCAGGUCGGCUACUGAUCGUCGACUUGGUAGGCCGUUACCCCACCAACUAUCUAAUCAGACGCGGGUCCAUCUUACACCGAUAAAUCUUUUCUCACAGUACCAUGCGGUACCGUGGGCUUAUGCGGUAUUAGCAGUCGUUUCCAACUGUUGUCCCCCUGUGUAAGGCAGGUUACCCACGCGUUACUCACCCGUCCGCCACUCGCACCGAAGUGCUCGUUCGACUUGCAUGUGUUAGGCACGCCGCCAGCGUUCAUC
rnacentral:rRNA from 1 species